rnacentral:rRNA from 1 species
UACGUAGGGUGCAGGCGUUAAUCGGAAUUACUGGGCGUAAAGCGUGCGCAGGCGGUUUGCUAAGUGAGAUGUGAAAUCCCCAGGCUCAACCUGGGAACUGCAUCCGAUACUGGAUGGCUUGAAUCCGGGAGAGGGAUGCAGAAUUCCAGGUGUAGCGGUGAAAUGCGUAGAUAUCUGGAGGAAUACCGGUGGCGAAGGCGGCAUCCUGGACCGGCAUUGACGCUGAGGAGCGAAAGCUAGGGGAGCAAACGGG